rnacentral:rRNA from 1 species
AGAGUUUGAUCCUGGCUCAGAACGUACGCUGGCGGCACGCCUAACACAUGCAAGUCGAACGAAGUAGCAAUACUUAGUGGCAGACGGGUGAGUAACAUGUAGGUAUCUGCCCUUUGGCCUGGAAUAACACGAGGAAACUUGUGCUAAUACUGGAUAAGUCUUUACGGAGAAAGCUUUAUGCACCAAUGGAUGAGCCUGCAAUUGAUUAGUUUGUUGGUAGGGUAAUGGCCUACCAAGACUAUGAUCAAUAGCUGAUUUGAGAGGAUGAUCAGCCACAUUGGGACUGAGACACGGCCCAAACUCCUACGGGAGGCAGCAGUGGGGAAUCUUGCACAAUGGAGGAAACUCUGAUGCAGCGAUGCCGCGUGAGUGAAGAAGGCCUUUGGGUUGUAAAGCUCUUUCGUCGGGGAAGAAAAUGACUGUACCCGAAUAAGAAGGUCCGGCUAACUUCGUGCCAGCAGCCGCGGUAAUACGAAGGGACCUAGCGUAGUUCGGAAUUACUGGGCUUAAAGAGUUCGUAGGUGGUUGAAAAAGUUGGUGGUGAAAUCCCAGAGCUUAACUCCGGAACUGCCAUCAAAACUUUUCAGCUAGAGUUUGAUAGAGGAAAGCAGAAUUUCUAGUGUAGAGGUGAAAUUCGUAGAUAUUAGAAGGAAUACCAAUUGCGAAGGCAGCUUUCUGGAUCAAUACUAACACUGAGGAACGAAAGCAUGGGUAGCGAAGAGGAUUAGAUACCCUCGUAGUCCAUGCCGUAAACGAUGUGUGUUAGACGUUGGAAAUUUAUUUUCAGUGUCGCAGCGAAAGCGAUAAACACACCGCCUGGGGAGUACGACCGCAAGGUUAAAACUCAAAUGAAUUGACGGGGACCCGCACAAGUAGUGGAGCAUGUGGUUUAAUUCGAAGAUACGCGCAGAACCUUACCAACACUUGACAUGUUCGUCGCGACUUUAAGAGAUUAAAGUUUUCGGUUCGGCCGGACGAAACACAGGUGCUGCAUGGCUGUCGUCAGCUCGUGUCGUGAGAUGUUGGGUUAAGUCCCGCAGCGAGCACAACCCUCACUUUUAGUUGCCAUCAUUUAGUUGGGCACUCUGAAAGAACUGCCAGUGAUAAGCUGGAGGAAGGUGGGGAUGACGUCAAGUCCUCAUGGCCCUUACGUGUUGGGCUACACACGUGCUACAAUGGUAUUUACAACGGGAAGCAAAACGGCGACGUUUAGCAAAUCCUUAAAAAAUACCUCAGUUCGGAUUGCACUCUGCAACUCGAGUGCAUGAAGCUGGAAUUACUAGUAAUCGUGGAUCAGCGUGCCACGGUGAAUGCGUUCCCGGGUCUUGUACACACCGCCCGUCACACCAUGGAAGUUGGUUACACCUUAAGGCAGAGCUUAUACCUCUGACUACGGUACGAUCAGCAACUGGGGUGAAGUCGUAACAAGGUAACC